CCUACGGGCGGCAGCAGUGGGGAAUAUUGGACAAUGGGCGAAAGCCUGAUCCAGCCAUGCCGCGUGUGUGAAGAAGGCCUUCGGGUUGUAAAGCACUUUCAGUGGGGAAGAAAGCCUUGGGGCUAAUACCCUCGAGGAAGGACAUCACCCACAGAAGAAGCACCAGCUAACUCCGUGCCAGCAGCCGCGGUAAUACGGAGGGUGCGAGCGUUAAUCGGAAUUACUGGGCGUAAAGCGCGCGUAGGCGGUCUGAUAAGCCGGUUGUGAAAGCCCCGGGCUCAACCUGGGAACGGCAUCCGGAACUGUCAGGCUAGAGUGCAGGAGAGGAAGGUAGAAUUCCCGGUGUAGCGGUGAAAUGCGUAGAGAUCGGGAGGAAUACCAGUGGCGAAGGCGGCCUUCUGGACUGACACUGACGCUGAGGUGCGAAAGCGUGGGUAGCAAACAGGAUUAGAUACCCGAGUAGUC
rnacentral:rRNA from 1 species